GAUGAACGCUGGCGGCGUGCCUAAUACAUGCCAGUCGAGCGAACAGACGAGGAGCUUGCUCCUCUGACGUUAGCGGCGGACGGGUGAGUAACACGUGGAUAACCUACCUAUAAGACUGGGAUAACUUCGGGAAACCGGAGCUAAUACCGGAUAAUAUAUUGAACCGCAUGGUUCAAUAGUGAAAGACGGUUUUGCUGUCACUUAUAGAUGGAUCCGCGCCGCAUUAGCUAGUUGGUAAGGUAACGGCUUACCAAGGCAACGAUGCGUAGCCGACCUGAGAGGGUGAUCGGCCACACUGGAACUGAGACACGGUCCAGACUCCUACGGGAGGCAGCAGUAGGGAAUCUUCCGCAAUGGGCGAAAGCCUGACGGAGCAACGCCGCGUGAGUGAUGAAGGUCUUCGGAUCGUAAAACUCUCUUAUUAGGGAAGAACAAAUGUGUAAGUAACUAUGCACGUCUUGACGGUACCUAAUCAGAAAGCCACGGCUAACUACGUG
rnacentral:rRNA from 1 species